rnacentral:rRNA from 1 species
UACGUAGGGACCGAGCGUUGUCCGGAAUCAUUGGGCGUAAAGAGCGUGUAGGCGGCCCCUUAAGUCCUGCGUGAAAUCCUGCGGCUCAACCGCAGACGGUCGUGGGAAACUGGAGGGCUAGAGUGCGGGAGAGGAGAGUGGAAUUCCCGGUGUAGCGGUGAAAUGCGCAGAUAUCGGGAGGAACACCUGUGGCGAAAGCGGCUCACUGGACCACAACUGACGCUGAUGCGCGAAAGCUAGGGGAGCAAACAGG